rnacentral:rRNA from 1 species
CGGCGGACGGGUGAGUAACGCGUGGGUAACCUGCCUCAUACAGGGGGAUAACAGUUGGAAACGGCUGCUAAUACCGCAUAAGCGCACAGUACCGCAUGGUACCGUGUGAAAAACUCCGGUGGUAUGAGAUGGACCCGCGUCUGAUUAGCUAGUUGGUGAGGUAACGGCCUACCAAGGCGACGAUCAGUAGCCGACCUGAGAGGGUGACCGGCCACAUUGGGACUGAGACACGGCCCAAACUCCUACGGGAGGCAGCAUG